GGCUUGAACCUUAGUACGGAUUUAUCAGGUUUACUUCAGGGGCGCUGAUGCAUGGCCGUUCUUAGUUGGUGGAGCGAUUUGUCUGGUUCAUUCCGAUAGAGAACGAGACUCAAGUCUGCUAAACAGUACGCUGAUACAUCUUCGUCGGUGCUGACUUCUUAGAGGGACAAGCGGCUUGAAGACUCUCUUAUGCAACAAAGUGAAGCAAAAAAGCACAGCCGUCAAGCGUGUCUCUUGGUUGCGCGCAAUACUUGGUGUUGUGGCGCCCCAAUAUCC
rfam:Macrostomum lignano uti_cns_0009986, whole genome shotgun sequence.